GUUGUUUUGGAGGUUUGUAGACUUUUGCUAUAUUUUUGCUCCCUUUAAGAGGGAAACGCAUGGACAGGAGGUGAGCUGUGAGUGAGGUGGUGCUUUUCCUGCAAGAAAGGGGAUUUUGUGUGAGGUGUUAGAAAGAGUUUGCUGCAGCAGUGACACGUAGGAGGGUGACAGAGGAAGAUAUUCUGGGGUUUUUGGAGAGGUGCAGAGGAGGCUUGGACGGCAAGAAAGUAGGCAAGGAGAGGGAGAGCAAGCAAAGGAGUGGGAGAGCCAGAGGAGGGGAAACUGAGCAAGCUUUGCUUGAGAAACUUAGAGUACCUCAUAUUGGGUGGAAUGCUUUACACACAGUGAAAGACUCCGAAAUUUUGGAUGAUAUUGGAAACCUUCAUGUCUAUUUUGUUCACUCGUACCAUGCCUGGAGAGAACCGUGCUCGUCUUAUGAAAUUGGCAAAGUGUUUAGUGGAAUCUACUUUGUUCCCAAAGUUUCCAUGAAGCUUAAAGCAUGCCCAGUUAAUGUUCCCAAGGAUAUGCAACAGCUUCAACCCACAGCAGGCAGCAUUUGUUUUGUAAAAACUGAUAGACUCAAGAGGGGCUUGCAGAGUAUGGGAUCAUCUGAUUAUCCAAUGGGCGAAAUUAUAAGUGGAGAAAAUUCCAGGGAGGUGGAUGAAGUAGCAGCAAGACAGUGUGAGCAUGCACUUUUGUAGAAUACAAUGGACAAAAAGUUAAAUGCAGCUACUGUUCCGACAGAAUUCAUUAAUAAAAACAGAUUUGUAUAGUACCCAGACUGGAGGAAGAAAGUAGUUUUUGCCUUGUAUGUUGGAAUUUUUAUAAAGGAUAUUAUUAUUUUUUCCUUUGAAGACAUGUUAUUUCUUAAUAAAUACAACUUAUUUUAAAGAAUGUAUUUUGUAUUUAAAAGA